UUCCGACGGUCGACUCCGGGUCAAGCGCACACCUAAGGAAGUUCAUUCGGUGUGUGUAGAAACAUGCACUGAGAAGUAAGCAAGAUAUGUCAUCUAUUUUCGAGAAGUUUGAUAAACUAAAGGUGGGGGUGAUGGGGACAUUCAGAAAAUGGGCAUUGUUCCGGAGAAUGAAAAGCUGGACGUGUUGGACGUACGCGAGGUGGUCACUGUGUACGGGGAAGCAGUAUACGUGGAACUCCUGAUGGAAAAAGCAAGCCAUUGACUUUGGCUGACCUCACUUAACCCAUAAGAAGAAGAAGAAACGAUAAACGCGUAAAGGUGUACCUACCCAGUCGUUUUAAGCGAUUCACAGAUGAAGAGUUGCAAGAAAUGCAUGAAUUACCGUAUCUGAAACUACAGAAGAAGGAGAGAUUCAUGGAUGGAGUCGCAUCACCCGAAAUCUUCUUUACUCACGCGAAAAGAGUGACACGCCCAAACAAGACCAUCGAAAGUCUGCGUCCCAUCAUCAGUAAAGCACUCCAUUCUAUCAGAGAAUUCCGUCAAGACUAGGAACAUUUUUGAAACUG